rnacentral:misc_RNA from 1 species
UCUGCAUUCCCAUUUGGAAGUGGUCCAUUGUCAGCACUUGUUGCACCAUUUGCAUUAACAUCUAAUUGGUUUACAUUGCUUUGACCAAAGUUUGAUAUAUCCUUUGAGCUUGUCUGGGACAUGCGCGACUCUUCAGGGUAGGUUCCACUCCUUUCUUUUGCAUCAGCUAGCUCAAGAUGAAGCUGUUGUACAGUAUGCAAAUGAAGUCUCUCCAUUUCUGCUAACUGUCUUUGACAACCGUAAUUGAUUAUAUUGCUCUGUGCGUUCUCGUAAUUCAACUUGUAAUGAGUGGUUUGUAGUAGAUUGCAAGGCAUC